CUUGACCUAGAUUGAUGGGGCCUCGAUCCCACAUACUCCUAGUUAACAGCUAGGCACCCAAACCAGCGAGCUUCAAUCUACUCAGACCCCAGUGCACACUCAAUGCACAUUAAUGAGUUUGCAACUCACCGUGAACUUCACUACAGGGUCGAUAAGAAGAGGAAUCAAACCUCUGUAAAAAGGACUACAGCCUAAUGCCUAUAACACUCAGCCAUCUUACCUGUGACUUUCAUUAACCGAUGAUUAUUUUCAACUAAUCACAAAGACAUUGGGCACCCUGUACCUAAUUCUUCGGAGCAUGGGCUGGAAUAGUUGGAACCUCCCUAAGCCUGGCUAAUCCGAGCAGAACUCGGCCAACCAGGCACCCUCCUAGGGGACGAUCAAAUUUACAAUGUGAUCGUCACUGCCCAUUGCCUUCGUAAUAAUCUUCUUCAUAUCGGAAGAGCUUCUGUAGGCAAAGA